AUACCGCUGACGAGUCUCACACUAGGACGAAAUGGCUGUCCAGUAU
rnacentral:hammerhead_ribozyme from 1 species